rnacentral:rRNA from 1 species
ACACAUGUCAUUUAUUUGAAAGGGGCAAUUGCUCCACUACAAGAUGGACCUGCGUUGUAUUAGCUAGUAGGUGAGGUAACGGCUCACCUAGGCGACGAUACAUAGCCGACCUGAGAGGGUGAUCGGCCACACUGGGACUGAGACACGGCCCAGACUCCUACGGGAGGCAGCAGUAGGGAAUCUUCGGCAAUGGGGGCAACCCUGACCGAGCAACGCCGCGUGAGUGAAGAAGGUUUUCGGAUCGUAAAGCUCUGUUGUAAGUCAAGAACGAGUGUGAGAGUGGAAAGUUCACACUGUGACGGUAGCUUACCAGAAAGGGACGGCUAACUACGUGCCAGCAGCCGCGGUAAUACGUAGGUCCCGAGCGUUGUCCGGAUUUAUUGGGCGUAAAGCGAGCGCAGGCGGUUUGAUAAGUCUGAAGUUAAAGGCUGUGGCUCAACCAUAGUUCGCUUUGGAAACUGUCAAACUUGAGUGCAGAAGGGGAGAGUGGAAUUCCAUGUGUAGCGGUGAAAUGCGUAGAUAUAUGGAGGAACACCGGUGGCGAAAGCGGCUCUCUGGUCUGUAACUGACGCUGAGGCUCGAAAGCGUGGGGAGCGAACAGGAUUAGAUACCCUGGUAGUCCACGCCGUAAACGAUGAGUGCUAGGUGUUGGAUCCUUUCCGGGAUUCAGUGCCGCAGCUAACGCAUUAAGCACUCCGCCUGGGGAGUACGACCGCAAGGUUGAAACUCAAAGGAAUUGACGGGGGCCCGCACAAGCGGUGGAGCAUGUGGUUUAAUUCGAAGCAACGCGAAGAACCUUACCAGGUCUUGACAUCCCGAUGCUAUUUCUAGAGAUAGAAAGUUACUUCGGUACAUCGGUGACAGGUGGUGCAUGGUUGUCGUCAGCUCGUGUCGUGAGAUGUUGGGUUAAGUCCCGCAACGAGCGCAACCCCUAUUGUUAGUUGCCAUCAUUCAGUUGGGCACUCUAGCGAGACUGCCGGUAAUAAACCGGAGGAAGGUGGGGAUGACGUCAAAUCAUCAUGCCCCUUAUGACCUGGGCUACACACGUGCUACAAUGGUUGGUACAACGAGUUGCGAGUCGGUGACGGCAAGCUAAUCUCUUAAAGCCAAUCUCAGUUCGGAUUGUAGGCUGCAACUCGCCUACAUGAAGUCGGAAUCGCUAGUAAUCGCGGAUCAGCACGCCGCGGUGAAUACGUUCCCGGGCCUUGUACACACCGCCCGUCACACCACGAGAGUUUGUAACACCACGAAGUCGGUGAGGUAACCUUUGGACGCCAGCC